GUCGUAGUGGUGUGUUGGUAAAGUUCUGAGUGUUUCUGCUAGGCGUCGUAGUGGUGUGUUGGUAAAGUUCUGAGUGUUUCUGCAGGCUAGGUGUCGUAGUGGUGUGUUGGUAAAGUUCUGAGUGUUUCUGCAGGCUAGGUGUCGUAGUGGUGUGUUGGUAAAGUUCUGAGUGUUUCUGCUAGGUGUCGUAGUGGUGUGUUGGUAAAGUUCUGAGACUGUUUCUGCAGGCUAGGUGUCGUAGUGGUGUGUUGGUAAAGUUCUGAGAGUGUUUCUGCAGGCUAGGUGUCGUAGUGGUGUGGUGGUAAAGUUCUGAGUGUUUCUGCUAGGUGUCGUAGUGGUGUGUUGGUAAAGUUCUGAGAAUGUUUCUGCUAGGUGUC
ensembl:lncRNA